rnacentral:rRNA from 1 species
UACAGAGGUCUCAAGCGUUGUUCGGAUUCAUUGGGCGUAAAGGGUGCGUAGGUGGCGAUGCAAGUCUGGUGUGAAAUCUCAGGGCUUAACCUUGAAAAUGCACCGGAUACUGCGUUGCUUGAGGAUUGUAGAGGAGAGUGGAAUUCACAGUGUAGCAGUGAAAUGCGUAGAUAUCGUGAGGAAGACCAGUUGCGAAGGCGACUCUCUGGGCAACUCCUGACACUGAGGCACGAAGGCUAGGGGAGCAAACGGGAUUAGAACU